rnacentral:rRNA from 1 species
CCUACGGGAGGCAGCAGUGAGGAAUAUUGGUCAAUGGGCGCGAGCCUGAACCAGCCAAGUAGCGUGAAGGAUGACUGCCCUACGGGUUGUAAACUUCUUUUAUAAAGGAAUAAAUUGCGGCACGUGUCCCUGUUGGUAUGUACUUUAUCAAUAAGGAUCGGCUAACUCCGUGCCAGCAGCCGCGGUAAUACGGAGGGUCCGAGCGUUAUCCGGAUUUAUUGGGUUUAAAGGGAGCGUAGAUGGGUUGUUAAGUCAGAUGUGAAAGUUUGCGGCUCAACCGUAGAAUUGCAAUUGAUACUGGCAGUCUUGAGUACAGUAGAGGUAGGCGGAAUUCGUGGUGUAGCGGUGAAAUGCGUAGAUAUUACGAAGAACUCCGAUGGCGAAGGCAGCUUACUAAACUGCCACUGACAUUGAUGCUCGAAAGUGUGGGGAGCAAACAGGAUUAGAUACCCGGGUAGUC